CCUACGGGUGGCAGCAGUGGGGAAUAUUGCGCAAUGGGCGAAAGCCUGACGCAGCGACGCCGCGUGAGGGAUGAAGGUCUUCGGAUCGUAAACCUCUGUCAGCAGGGAAGAACGGUCACUGUGCUAAUCAGCAGUGAAUUGACGGUACCUGCAAAGGAAGCACCGGCUAACUCCGUGCCAGCAGCCGCGGUAAUACGGAGGGUGCGAGCGUUAAUCGGAAUUACUGGGCGGAAAGCGCUCGUAGGCGGUAUGUCAAGUCAAGGGUGAAAUCCCCGCGCUCAACGGGGGAACUGCCUUUGAAACUGGCAAACUGGAGUGUGUGAGAGGAUAGUGGAAUUCCAGGUGUAGGAGUGAAAUGCGUAGAUAUCUGGAGGAACAUCAGUGGCGAAGGCGACUAUCUGGCACAUAACUGACGCUGAGGAGCGAAAGCGUGGGUAGCAAACAGGAUUAGAUACCCUGGUAGUC
rnacentral:rRNA from 1 species